rnacentral:rRNA from 1 species
UAAUGGGUGAUAGCGUGCCUUUUGUAGAAUGAACCGGCGAGUUACGAUUUGUUGCAAGGUUAAGCGGAAAAAGCGGAGCCGUAGCGAAAGCGAGUCUGAAUAGGGCGCAUAAGUAACAGGUCGUAGACCCGAAACCAGGUGAUCUACCCAUGUCCAGGAUGAAGGUAAGGUAAUACUUACUGGAGGUCCGAACCCACGCACGUUGAAAAGUGCGGGGAUGAGGUGUGGGUAGCGGAGAAAUUCCAAUCGAACUUGGAGAUAGCUGGUUCUCUCCGAAAUAGCUUUAGGGCUAGCCUCGAGGUAAAGAGUCAUGGAGGUAGAGCACUGUUUGGACUAGGGGCCCUUCUCGGGUUACCGAAUUCAGAUAAACUCCGAAUGCCAUGUACUUAUACUCGGGAGUCAGACUGCGAGUGAUAAGAUCCGUAGUCGAAAGGGAAACAGCCCAGACCACCAGUUAAGGUCCCCAAAUAUAUGUUAAGUGGAAAAGGAUGUGGGGUUGCUUAGACAACCAGGAUGUUGGCUUAGAAGCAGCCACCAUUGAAAGAGUGCGUAAUAGCUCACUGGUCGAGUGACCCCGCGCCGAAAAUGUACCGGGGCUAAACAUAUUAC